CCCAACUAUCCCUAUUAAUCAUUACGUCAAUCCUAGAAACCAACAAAAUAGAACCAUGCCGUCCUAUUUUAUUAUUCCAUGCUAAUGUAUUCAGGCACUGGCCUGCUUUGAGCACUCUAAUUUUUUCAAGGUAAUAGUCCUGCUUCCCCAGCGCACCAAGUAAAUGGCAUGCUGGUUAUUCAGAAGGUAAGAACCCACCACGCCAGUACGGACAAUGAAGCCCGACCAACGGACAGAUUCCGAAAUUCAACUACGAGCUUUUUAACUGCAACAACUUUAAUAUACGCUAUUGGAGCUGGAAUUACCGCGGCUGCUGGCACCAGACUUGCCCUCCAA
rnacentral:misc_RNA from 2 species